rnacentral:rRNA from 1 species
CGGUAGCAGGAAGUGCUUGCACUUUGCUGACGAGUGGCGGACGGGUGAGUAAUACUUAGGAACAUGCCUUUGUGUGGGGGAUAACCAUUGGAAACGAUGGCUAAUACCGCAUAAUGUCUUUGGACCAAAGAGGGCUUUCGGGCUCUCGCGCAAAGAGUGGCCUAAGUGAGAUUAGCUAGUUGGUGAGGUAAAGGCUCACCAAGGCAACGAUCUCUAGCUGUUCUGAGAGGAAGAUCAGCCACACUGGGACUGAGACACGGCCCAGACUCCUACGGGAGGCAGCAGUGGGGAAUAUUGCACAAUGGGGGCAACCCUGAUGCAGCCAUGCCGCGUGUGUGAAGAAGGCCUUCGGGUUGUAAAGCACUUUCAGUUGUGAGGAAAGGUUGGUGGUUAAUACCCAUCAGCUGUGACGUUAGCAACAGAAGAAGCACCGGCUAACUCCGUGCCAGCAGCCGCGGUAAUACGGAGGGUGCGAGCGUUAAUCGGAAUUACUGGGCGUAAAGCGCACGCAGGCGGUUAUAUAAGCUAGAUGUGAAAGCCCCGGGCUCAACCUGGGAAUAGCAUUUAGAACUGUAUGACUAGAGUCUUGGAGAGGGGAGUGGAAUUCCAGGUGUAGCG